rnacentral:sRNA from 1 species
UCCACUGGUGUUUACGUUUCGGGCUGGC